AUGAAGUUUGGUACUUUUGAGGAAGCUUAAGAUCACUACAAGAAAUAUGCACUCAGACAUGGGUUUGGAAUGAGACUGAAAUACAGAAAAACAAUUAAAGACGAUACUGUAAGUAGAGUCCUCUUGGUUUGUGGGAAAUACGGCAAGGCAAAAUCAAACAAGGAGGAGAAAGAGGAUGUGCAAGACCCAAGAAGCAUCAUGAAGAAGAGGAAAAGAGGGAAGGUUGUGAGGUCAGGAUGUCCGGCCCACCUUUACAUCACCCACACGGAUGCGUGGUGGAGAGUCAAACGCUUCAACAACGACCACAACCACCCCCUAAUAAGAAAGCCGUCCUUGACAAAGUUCCUGACAAAGGACAUCGCAAACCAGCGAGCUAAAUUCCGCAUGGAGUACCGCCAUGCUGAUGUGGGGAGCACAAUCUCAUACUUCCAAGAUAUGAAGGCACAAGAUCCAGAUUUCUAUUGGAAAAUAAAGCUUGAUGAUGAGAACAGAGUGGAGAAUUUGUUCUGGAUAGAUGGUGCGUCGCGCAGGGCAUAUGCUAGAUACAAUGAUGUCAUCUCAUUCGACACAACAUACAUGACAAACAUGUACAAGAUGCCCUGUGCGCCCUUCAUUGGCAUUAAUAACCAUGGGCAGUCAAUCCAGUUUGGUUGUGUGUUUGUUUGAAACGAACUAUCUGGUAACUUUGUGUGGUUGUUUAAUGCAUUCUUGCAUGCAAUGGGUGGAAUUACGUCAAAGAACAUAAUAAUAGAUCAGGAUUUUGCAAUGAGGAGUGCUAUUGAUGAGGUGUUCAUCGGGAUAGUACACAGGAAUUGCCGCUGGCAUAUAAUGAAAAAAAGCACAGAGAAGCUUGGGAAGCUGAUGGCUGACAAUGAGCCACUAAACAACGCAUUCAAGGAUUGUGUUGACGACAACCUGACUGUUGAGGAGUUUGAGCACAAGUGGUGGGUGAUGAUGGAAGCGUAUGGCCAGACCGACAACGAGCAUUUCCAAUGGCCGUGGGAGAACAUGAAGUGUUGGGUCCCAGUAUACUAUAUGCACGAUUUUUUCCCGUUCUUGCAGACCACGGCAAGAAGCGAGGGUUUUAACUCUAUGCUCAAGAAGUAUGUCAACCCAAACAACUCAUUGGUUGAAUUUGCACAAUAG
rnacentral:rRNA from 1 species